rnacentral:rRNA from 1 species
UACGUAGGGGGCUAGCGUUGUCCGGAAUCAUUGGGCGUAAAGAGCGUGUAGGCGGCCCGGUAAGUCCGUUGUAAAAGUCGAAGGCUCAACCUUUGAAUGCCGAUGGAUACUGCCGGGCUAGAGUCCGGAGGAGGCGAGUGGAAUUCCUGGUGUAGCGGUGGAAUGCGCAGAUAUCAGGAGGAACACCGAUAGCGAAGGCAGCUCGCUGGGACGGUACUGACGCUAAGACGCGAAAGCGUGGGGAGCGAACAGG